rnacentral:rRNA from 1 species
GAUGAACGCUGGCGGCGUGCUUCAUACAUGCAAGUCGAACGAGGUCCAUGGGAGCUUGCUCCCGGAAGACCUAGUGGCGAACGGGUGCGUAACACGUGAGAAACCUGUCCCCGACAGGGGGAUAACAGUUGGAAACGACUGCUAAUACCCCAUACCACCGGUGGAUCGCAUGGUCCGCCGAUGAAAGUUCCGGCGGUUGGGGAGGGUCUCGCGGCCUAUCAGCUAGUUGGAGAGGUAACGGCUCACCAAGGCAUCGACGGGUAGCUGGUCUGAGAGGAUGAUCAGCCACACUGGGACUGAGACACGGCCCAGACUCCUACGGGAGGCAGCAGUAGGGAAUCUUGCACAAUGGGCGAAAGCCUGAUGCAGCAACGCCGCGUGCGGGAAGAAGGCCCUAGGGUUGUAAACCGCUUUCAGCAGGGAAGAAAAUGACGGUACCUGCAGAAGAAGGUGCGGCCAACUACGUGCCAGCCGCCGCCGUAACAC